GCUUGCUAAGCCUAAUUCGUUUGUGAAGAGUGCUAAUGAGGAUGGGCAUUUGCUUGUGUGGACAGGAUAAGACGGUGAUGGUUAGAAGAACCAAGAUGUCAUAGGGGCCGGACUGCUCAGUAUUGUUGAGGAAUGCCAACAGCAAGAAUUCUGCAGAACACAGAAAAUGUGAUUGUCUCCUUGGGUGAUAGCUCAAGGAGAAAUUGAAUUGGCCAUUCAGUCCCAGGUGAGCAGUGAGCCAGACCUUGAAAGUAUGACAUAUUUUAGGGUAGACUCAAGAAGAAAGGAACAUAACAAGCAAAUCUUCUCAAUAGGAGUUUAAAUAUUCAUGAUUUGCUUAUUAAAACAUUUUUAAAAUUGUGUCUCUGAGCAUCAGGUUCUUAAUAUGCAGAACAAAAGAGCAAAGUACUGAAAAC
rnacentral:lncRNA from 1 species